UAGGUGACCUGCGGAAGGAUAUUA
rnacentral:rRNA from 1 species